rnacentral:lncRNA from 10 species
ACCAGCUUGGGCAAUAUGGUGAAACCCUGCCUGACUCUAUAAAAAAAUACAAAAAUUAGCCAGGAGUGGUGGUUUGAUCCUGUAGACCCAGCUACUUAGGAGGCUGAGGAGGGAGGAUUGCUUGAGUCCGGCAGGUCAAGGCUGCAGUGAACAAUGAUCAAGCCACUGCACUCCAGCUUGAGCGACAGUGAGACACUGUCUCAAUAAAAACCCAAAAAACCAACAAAACAAACCAAUUGUAACUGCUACUAGUUGGAACAUACAUUCAAGGAAACUUAAAUCUAUGUCUUCAGGGUUGCAGUUCUCAAACUUGGCUCAAAGAAACUUUCCACUGUGAAAAUAAGUAACUCUGGCUGUACGUGGUGGCCCAUGCCUGUAAUCCCACCACUCUGAGAGAAUGAGGCAGGAGGAUUGCUUGAACACAGGAGUUGAAGACCAGCCUGGGCAACUCGGUGAAACCUAGUCUCUACAAACAAUAAAAAAAAAAUUAGGUGUGGCGACUCACACCUGAGGUCCCAACUACUGGGGAGGCUGAGGCAGGAGGAUCACUUGAUCUCACAGGCUGCAGUGAGUUGAGAUCAUGCCACUGCAAUUCAGCCUGGGCAUCAGAGAAAGACCCUGUCUCAGUUUUUUAAAAAAUAAAAUAACUCCAAAUAUGAAUUGUUGGAACUUUAAAAUAUUCUUAGCCUUAAAGGAAUGGGAUUACAGCACCUGAGUCAAAAAAAAAAAAAAAAAGGGCAAUUAUAACCUAGGCAGCUGUAGCCUUUGUUUCUCUGAUUAUAGAUUAGCCUUAUUCUUUACCUACAUUGUUUUGUAAAAUGUUGUAAAUAACUAAAGAGCUCCAGGGAAGCCUCUUUAUUUGUUUGUUUGUUUGAGACAGGGUCUCGCUCUGUCACUCAGGCUGGAGUGCAGUGGCACAAUCUCUUCUCAUUGCAACCUCCAAUUCCCAGGAUUGUCCCUCUACCUUCCUACCCCAACCCUUCUUCAUGGAGCUCACCUGGGCCUUGCCCCGCCUCAGCCCCACACUUCUACUGAUUAUAAAGAGAUACCCCCCUUAUUUGUCUGACUUUGGAAUCUUUACCUCUGGCCCACAGCCAUCCUGGGCUCUGCCCCCUUUUGUACACAAAGCCUUUGUCUUCUUAGGAAAAUGACCAGGUUCUGCCCAUAAAAGUAUCCUACCUGAAAGGGAGGUGGAGAGAGAGUGCCUCAUGGAAAAUCACAGAAACACAUUUCUUUGCAUCUGAAUGCUUCCAGUACCUCACUUUGUCAGCAAACCUACUCUGGGUUAGACCCCAGCAUCCUUAGCCUUUUUGUGCCGUGGCCUUCUUUGGUAUCUGAGGAAGCCCAUGGACUGCUCAGAAUAGAUUUUUUUUUUUAAGUGCACAAAAUAAAAUACAGAGAGCAAUGGAAAUAAAUUAUAUCAAAAUAAAGUUUAUGAAAAUAUUUGUGAUAUUACAUGAUAUGCUUUAUUGGCACAUUAAAUAACAAGAUCCAAAGUUAGGUCUAAUUACUAUAAUUUUGAGGUAAUGAUGAGCAAAAAUGCUAUCCCGAGAUGUCUGCAACAGCUGCAGUGUAAUAUGAAAAUAUCUGUGAUUUCUGUUGGUAACAAAGUAACAGGUGCUGCUAACACUAAUGAGGUUUGUUCCUAGCAACAUUCGCCAUGGAAGGAAAAGCUCAAUUUCAAUUAAAGUUUAGAGAAAAUCAAGAUGCAAUCACCCUCCUCCCAUCUUUCUCAAUUUUUUAAAUUAUUUUUU